rnacentral:rRNA from 1 species
GACGAACGCUGGCGGCGUGCUUAACACAUGCAAGUCGAACGGAAAGGCCCUGCUUUUGUGGGGUGCUCGAGUGGCGAACGGGUGAGUAACACGUGAGUAACCUGCCCUUGACUUUGGGAUAACUUCAGGAAACUGUGGCUAAUACCGGAUAGGAGCUCCUGCUGCAUGGUGGGGGUUGGAAAGUUUCGGCGGUUGGGGAUGGACUCGCGGCUUAUCAGCUUGUUGGUGGGGUAGUGGCUUACCAAGGCUUUGACGGGUAGCCGGCCUGAGAGGGUGACCGGCCACAUUGGGACUGAGAUACGGCCCAGACUCCUACGGGAGGCAGGAGUGGGGAAUAUUGCACAAUGGGCGGAAGCCUGAUGCAGCAACGCCGCGUGCGGGAUGACGGCCUUCGGGUUGUAAACCGCUUUCGCCUGUGACGAAGCGUGAGUGACGGUAAUGGGUAAAGAAGCACCGGCUAACUACGUG